GGAUGUGAGGGCGAUCUGGCUGCAACAUCUGUCACCCCAUUGAUCGCCAGGGUUGAUUCGGCUGAUCUGGCUGGCUAGGCGGGUGUCCCCUUCCUCCCUCACCGCUCCAUGUGCGUCCCUCCCGAAGCUGCACGCUCGGUCGAAGAGGACGACCAUCCCCGAUAGAGGAGGACCGGUCUUCGGUCAAGGGUAUACGAGUAGCUGCGCUCCCCUGCUAGAACCUCCAAAAAAAAAAAAAACUAAAAAUAGAGUACCAUACAAUCCAGUAAUCUCACUACUGAGUAUUAUCCACAG
rnacentral:snRNA from 1 species